ACUAAAAUCUUGCAAAAAUUGCAAGAGAUUGUUGAAAAUUAGCAAGAAAUCCUGGCCAUGCAGAGAAAGUUACUGGCUGCUACAGCUGUGACGGUGUCAGACGAAGGGGGGACUUGCUGGAUAAUGGGCCAUGUCAGACUGUGGAAGAACUCCAGCAGCUGGACACUGAACUGGCCUACAAGGACAAAAGAACCAAAAUGGGGCAACACAAAAACAUUUUAAGGAGCUGAGGGCAACUGAUGUGGAGGACCUAAUAUCUCUCGUUUUGAAAUAAGCUCCACACAGACACUUCAAAUGAUGAUGCUGAAGUGAAGAUGGACUUGAAUUCCUUUAGUUAUAGCCGGUUUUUAUAUUCCUCAUUUUAUAUUUAAGAAAUUGUUACUAUAAAUAGUUAUAUUUAUA